rnacentral:rRNA from 1 species
GACGUAGGGGGCCAGCGUUGCUCGGAAUUACUGGGUGUAAAGGGUUCGUAGGCGGUGUGGCAAGUCGGGAGUGAAAUCUCUGGGCUCAACCCAGACGUCUGCUCCUGAAACUGCUGUGCUUGAGUGUGGGAGAGGCGCGUGGAAUUGCAGGUGUAGCGGUGAAAUGCGUAGAUAUCUGCAGGAACACCCGUGGCGAAAGCGGCGCGCUGGACCACUACUGACGCUGAGGAACGAAAGCUAGGGGGAGCAAACAGG